rnacentral:rRNA from 1 species
CUUAACUUCCAGGCUGCAUCUGAAACUACGGCUCUUGAGUGCCGGAGAGGAAAGCGGAAUUCCCAGUGUAGCGGUGAAAUGCGUAGAUAUUGGGAGGAACACCAGUGGCGAAGGCGGCUUUCUGGACGGUAACUGACGCUGAGGCGCGAAAGCGUGGGGAGCAAACAGGAUUAGAUACCCUAGUAGUCCACGCUGUAAACGAUGGAUACUAGGUGUAGGAGGUAUCGACCCCUCCUGUGCCGCAGUUAACACAAUAAGUAUCCCACCUGGGGAGUACGGCCGCAAGGUUGAAACUCAAAGGAAUUGACGGGGGCCCGCACAAGCAGUGGAGUAUGUGGUUUAAUUCGAAGCAACGCGAAGAACCUUACCAGGGCUUGACAUACUAGGGAAUAGGGUAGAGAUACUCUAGCUCUUCGGAGCUC